GAUGAACGCUGGCGGCGUGCUUAACACAUGCAAGUCGAACGGUAACGCAGUGCUUGCUUGGUGUUCCAGUGGGGGACUGGGGUGAGACACAUGAGCAUACCGCGCCCUACUCUUUGGUAAGCGCUAAGGAAGGUGGCGAUAACAUGAUAUGGGAUCCGACCUCGUGGUGAGGGGGUGGGAACAUUUUGCGGUCUGGGAUGGGCUCCCGGCCUAUCAGCUUGUUGGUGGGGUAAUGGCUCACCAAGGCGUCGACGGGUAGCCGGCCUGGGAGGGUGGCCGGCCACAAUGGGACUGAGACACGGCCCAGACUCCUACGGGAGGCAGCAGUGGGGAAUAUUGCACAAUGGGCGCAAGCCUGAUGCAGCAACGCCGCGUGUGGGAUGACGGCCUUCGGGGUGUAAACCGCUUUCGGCUGUGACGAAGCGUUAGUGACGGUACCCGAAGAAGAAGCACCGGCUAACUACGUG
rnacentral:rRNA from 1 species